AAGUCGUAACAAGGUUUCCGUAGGUGAACCUGCGGAAGGAUCAUUACCGAGUUCCUGCCCUCUGGGUAGAUCUCCCACCCUUGCUUAUCUUACCCAUGUUGCUUUGGCGGUCCGCCCUCGCGGCCACCGGCUCCCGCUGGUGCGCGGCCGCCAGAGAAUCACACAACGCUACAUACCUGUAUCGUCUGAGUCAAAUACAAAUAGUUAAAACUUUCAACAACGGAUCUCUUGGUUCUG
rnacentral:misc_RNA from 1 species